CUGACAUGCGUGCGAGUCGACGGGUUCUGAAACCUGGGAUGCGCAAGGAAGCUGACGAGUAGGAGGCCCUCACGGGCCGCACCGCUGGCCGACCCUGAUCUUCUGUGAAGGGUUCGAGUUGGAGCACGCCUGUCGGGACCCGAAAGUUGGUGAACUAUGCCUGAGCGGGGCGAAGCCAGAGGAAACUCUGGUGGAGGCUCGAAGCGAUACUGACGUGCAAAUCGUUCGUCUGACUUGGGUAUAGGGGCGAAAGACUAAUCGAACCAUCUAGUAGCUGG
rnacentral:rRNA from 1 species